rnacentral:tmRNA from 1 species
GGGGCUGAAUUUUAAGCUCGACAUUGGUACAUUUACAUUCUGAUUGCAGGUCGCUUGUCAGCGUUAUAGGCAAAACUCAGUAAUUGCAAAAUUAUCUGAUAAGGUAGCUGCUGCUUUCGAAAGCGUUAAACUCGCUUUUGCUAAGCCAGUUGCCGUAUACGCUUAAUUUAAAUUAAGCAAUGCCCUAGAAGAUGCCGAAUAUUUUAGGUAGCGUUUUAUAUUUUCGGACGCUCAUGCGAAACUAUCUUAGUCGCAUGCUAAGACUAUAGAUUGCGAAUAUGAAAUGUUUGUUAGUUUAAAUAAUUGUAUUCAAAGAUUCUAAAACUAAAUAAGCCUGUAGAGUCGAAUGUUUAAACCCGAUGGACGUGGGGGCAGUACCCACCAGCUCCACCA